rnacentral:tRNA from 3 species
GGAGAGAUGGCAGAGCGGUUUAAUGCACCGGUCUUGAAAACCGGCAUACCCGCAAGGGUAUCCAGGGUUCGAAUCCCUGUCUCUCCG